rnacentral:rRNA from 1 species
GAUGAACGCUGGCGGCGUGCCUAAUACAUGCAAGUCGAGCGAACAGACGAGGAGCUUGCUCCUCUGACGUUAGCGGCGGACGGGUGAGUAACACGUGGAUAACCUACCUAUAAGACUGGGAUAACUUCGGGAAACCGGAGCUAAUACCGGAUAAUAUAAUGAACCGCAUGGUUCAAUAGUGAAAGACGGUUUUGCUGUCACUUAUAGAUGGAUCCGCGCCGCAUUAGCUAGUUGGUAAGGUAACGGCUUACCAAGGCAACGAUGCGUAGCCGACCUGAGAGGGGGGGGCGCCAACACGGAACGGAAACCCGGGCCAAACCCCCGGGGGGGGGCACAAGGAGGAAUUCUUCAGAAGGGGCGGAAGGCGAAACGGAACAGCGCGGGGGGAGGUAGAAGGUUUUUGGGAUCAAAAAACUUUUUUAUGGGGAAAAAAAAAAUGUGAAAGUAACAAUGCCCUUCUGGCCGUUCCCAAACAAAAAAGCCAGGCCAAACUCGGUC